GACGAACGCUGGCGGCGUGCUUAACACAUGCAAGUCGAACGGAAAGGCCCUGCUUUUGUGGGGUGCUCGAGUGGCGAACGGGUGAGUAACACGUGAGUAACCUGCCCUUGACUUUGGGAUAACUUCAGGAAACUGGGGCUAAUACCGGAUAGGAGCUCCUGCUGCAUGGUGGGGGUUGGAAAGUUUCGGCGGUUGGGGAUGGACUCGCGGCUUAUCAGCUCGUUGGUGGGGUAGUGGCUUACCAAGGCUUUGACGGGUAGCCGGCCUGAGAGGGUGACCGGCCACAUUGGGACUGAGAUACGGCCCAGACUCCUACGGGAGGCAGCAGUGGGGAAUAUUGCACAAUGGGCGGAAGCCUGAUGCAGCAACGCCGCGUGCGGGAUGACGGCCUUCGUGUUGUAAACCGCUUUCGCUUGUGACGAAGCGUGAGUGACGGUAAUGGGUAAAGAAGCACCGGCUAACUACGUG
rnacentral:rRNA from 1 species